ensembl:lncRNA
AUGACCACUGGUUACCAUCACCACCAUCAUCAGUCAUCAUUAUCGUGUUUAGUUCCUCUUUCUCUACUUCUAAUCACAAUGUUAAGUCUGAUCUUUUCUACCUCUUCAGUGAUGCCAAGUUUCCUAAGGGUAAUUUUCCUAUGCUCAGAAGGUAAAGAAACUGCCUGCAAUGUGGAAGACCUGGGUUCAAUCCCUGGGUUGGGAAGAUCCCCCGGAGAAGAAAGGGCAUGGCAACCCACUCCAGUAUUCUUGGCUGGAGAAUUCCAUGGACAGAGGAGCCUGGCGGGCUGCAGUCCACAGGGUUGCAGAGUUGGACACAACUGAGCAACUAACAUGAGGGGAAAUUCCACACCAAGAGGUACAAGUAAAACUGAGCUGCUGAAGGUCCUACUUUCUCUGGGUAAAAGAGAGGAGGC